ensembl:lncRNA
AGCACUGGAUAUGCAUAUGUGAAAGAGGGUGAGACAGAGAGAUAGGGUAAGGGACAGACUGAAAGAGUGACUCAAAAAGAGUGAGAGAUAAAGAGUUAAAGAGAGUGUGCGCAAGGCUGAGGACACUGAUCAAUGCAUCUUUGUGCUUGCUGCCUCAGCAAGUGAAGGUGAGAGCAAAUCAAAACAAAUGAAAAGCAGACGUCUCUGGAGAGAAGCAAACAACCUCCCAUCAGCCUCUGAGGGAGGAUGAUUACUGUCUGCCGAGAGCUAGAGGAGUGACUGUCAAGAUAGGUGCUGUUUGAACACAUGCUCAUGUGCGGAUUUGAGUCAUCUUAGAGUCUCCUCACUGCACCCACUUACUGGACAACAAGACCUUUUGUGGAUACUCAAACCUAUAGAAAAAUACCUGCAACAUGUCAGGAAUCUUCAGGGGUUUGAGUCCCAGGAUGUAACUGAAGGUUUUCCAUAGUGGUCAAAUGCAUUGAUUUCUACUCAAAUCUGC